UGGCUCACUGGUUCAGCUAUUUGGCUGGCUGGGUAGUGGUUGGCGGCAGCUUCGCCAAAGAGGCGCGGAUGGGCUGGUUGGAAAUUAGUGGCUGGAGAAGGUGACUGGUUGGAUGCCGGAGAAUAAAGAGAGGUGGCGGCAAUUCGUUUGAUGGUUAUGGCGGCUGGUUCACCGAUAAUAGAAAGAACAGGUGACGUGGCUGGUG
rnacentral:lncRNA from 1 species